CAGGAGUAGCUUGCUAUUUGCUGACGACCGGCGCACGGGUGCGUAACGCGUAUAGAAUCUACCUUGUACUAGGGGAUAGCCUUUGGAAACGAAGAUUAAUACCCUAUAGUAAGUAUUUAUGGCAUCAUUUAUACUUUAAAGGUUACGGUACAAGAUGACUAUGCGUCCUAUUAGUUUGUUGGUGAGGUAACGGCUCACCAAGACUUCGAUAGGUAGGGGCCCUGAGAGGGGGAUCCCCCACACUGGUACUGAGACACGGACCAGACUCCUACGGGAGGCAGCAGUGAGGAAUAUUGGACAAUGGAGGCAACUCUGAUCCAGCCAUGCCGCGUGCAGGAUGACGGCCCUAUGGGUUGUAAACUGCUUUUAUGUAGGAAGAAACACUCUCACGUGUGAGAGCUUGACGGUACUACAAGAAUAAGGACCGGCUAACUCCGUGCCAGCAGCCGCGGUAAUACGGAGGGUCCAAGCGUUAUCCGGAAUCAUUGGGUUUAAAGGGUCCGUAGGCGGGCUAUUAAGUCAGAGGUGAAAGUUUGCAGCUCAACUGUAAAAUUGCCUUUGAAACUGGUAGUCUUGAAUUAUUAUGAAGUGGUUAGAAUAAGUAGUGUAGCGGUGAAAUGCAUAGAUAUUACUUAGAAUACCAAUUGCGAAGGCAGAUCACUAAUAAUAUAUUGACGCUGAGGGACGAAAGCGUGGGGAGCGAACAGGAUUAGAUACCCUGGUAGUCCACGCCGUAAACGAUGGAUACUAGCUGUUCGGAUUUAUCUGAGUGGCUAAGCGAAA
rnacentral:rRNA from 1 species